CAGUAGCCGCGGUAAAACAGAGGGUGCGAGCGUUAAUCGGAAUUACUGGGCGUAAAGCGUGCGCAGGCGGUUUUGUAAGACAGAGGUGAAAUCCCCGGGCUCAACCUGGGAACUGCCUUUGUGACUGCAAGGCUAGAGUACGGCAGAGGGGGAUGGAAUUCCGCGUGUAGCAGUGAAAUGCGUAGAUAUGCGGAGGAACACCGAUGGCGAAGGCAAUCCCCUGGGCCUGUACUGACGCUCAUGCACGAAAGCGUGGGGAGCAAACAGGAUUAGAUACCCGUGUAGUCCCUGUCUCUUAUAC
rnacentral:rRNA from 1 species